UUUCGUAAACAGCAAUAUAAAAUUUCCACUUAAAAAGAAAAACAAAGAAAUAAAAAACUUCUUCCAGGUUUUCUGAUAAAGAUAGGUGUGUGUGUGUGUGUGUGUGUGUGUGUGGUGGGGGGUGCAGAAUUGGCCUUACACCUUUGAAAAUAAUAUGUUGAUUUAUGAUGAUUAAAAGGGAGAAGUAGAAUGGAAACAGGAAAAAAUAACACUGGUUUGCCUACGAGAGACUCAGAUUAGAGGUAAGGAUUCAUUUUAAGAAUGAUGAGGGAGGUGUGAGUAUUGAUCUGGGUAGGAGCUACUGACUGUGAGCAGGACAUCCAAGGAGGCUAACCAGGGAUACAGCUCAAUGGGCGAUACUUGGAAAACUAAGACCCCAUUACAAAGCUGGGGGACUGCAUCAGAAUGCACUUGAACCCCGGCAUGCACACAUUUAAAUCUCCCAACCCAGUUCCUCCCUUUUGGUCAAAGUGCACCCAAGUCAUCCCCAGUGGAGAGUUCACAUUGCAUGGUCCAGAGUCUUGGAAGGUCCUCACUUAUCUAAAGGUCUCCUCUGUUUGGGGAGCUCAGGGGCUGGCUAAGAAGGCUUAACAUUUUUCUACUAAAAAUGACACACACCCACUUUCUCCCCUUCCAUGGCAUGUGCAAAUCUAGUUAGCUGAAUGUAGCUUAGAGACAGUCCUACACUGCCACGAUGGGUACAGGCACACGCUUAGUCAUACAAAAUAGCACCGUUAGCAAGUGUGUGUGCUAGCACAUGCCAUUAAUUCAUCAAGUGAAUUCCUGUUUGUUCUAAGUCUCCACUGAGACCCCAACAAUAUGUGAUUCCGUGAAACAUUCUGCCACAAACUUGGUUCUGUCCCUUGUCUGUCCUCCCUUUGCUUGGCCAACCCCAGUUUAGGAUCUCCUGACAGAGGGCCAGCACUCACAUUGCAAAGUUUUCAUUUUUGACCUGAUAUCUUUGAUUUGCUCUGCUACUGUUCCUCUUUGUCUGAUCUUUUCAUCAUCCCUUUAUUCUUGUCUCUUCUCCUUCAUAUCUUAGUACCAGGCUCCUCGCCCACACACAUCUGAUCUACCCAUCCUCACUGUCGGUUUCCAGGUUGGCCUCAGCCAGAAUGUGAUGGUACUAUACUUCUUUACAACAUACUUUUCAUUGUAACAUAAAAUGUUACAGCAAUUCAAUGAUAUAUAUUCUUCUUUAUUUAAGAAUACUUGUGACACUGUAAUUUUUUUUUCACAUGGGUAGGUCUGCCCUCCGUGAUGUCUCCUUAUCAUCUUGCUGCCCUGAAUAACAUUUCCCACUUGAGAAACACAUCUGUCAGGUGAUGUCAACGCCUGGCUUCCUCUUCUUCCUGUUGGGUUCAAAACGUGGCCUUCUCUCAUGGUCCUGGAAUGCUGACAUGGUCGAGUGGCCAGAGCCAAACACAGGGUUUGCAUGGUUGACUGUUCCUAAUCAGAGAUCACCUUGGUGACACACCGAGUUCCUCUGAAGCUGGGCACCGGUAGGCCCCCAGGGAAAUGAAGCAUGUGGCUACUUCAGCCAGACAGUCAGUCUCUGUUUGAUGACUGUGCAAUGACUGAGAAAGCCUUCUGACUUCACUCCUGUGCUCCGGCAUUGUCAUGGCUUUGGUGCUUGGAGCAUCGAUUCGGCACUGCCUUGUGAGAUCCAGGAAAAUAAAAAUGAAUCAGUAAAAACAUUUUUACUUGGAUCAUCCAAGGAACUCUCUCAGGAGACAGAGGAGAAUCCAGACAAAGAACUGAUAAAACUGGUUGUCUUAAUCUGCCACUUCCCUCAUUCUGCCAGAAAGUUAGCAAUCCAAUGUGAGCAUGAUCAGCAGUGUGUAAAAAACCUAUAAUUAAGGACUCGAUGUUUUCUCUACUGGCUUUAUCUUUUAAAUAAGAACACCUCUUCAACUGUAAACAACAGCUCUUGGUGGCUGUUUUUAUUUGAAUAAAAUUGUGUUUAAAAUUGUUAAAAAUUA